GUGGUAACAAGACGAAGUUUACAUGUCUGUCCACAUCAGCACCAUGUACUCAAGAUGGAUUUCAGCUGCCAAAAAGGUCAAUCCAAACUGCUUGCACAAACCUGUCUUUAUGCUCCUGUUUAUUAUGCUCCCAUGUAGUAGAUGUCUCGUGCACUAAAACAGUGCAGCCAUAUGUCAACAUCUCUCUGGUGGUUCUGAAUGUUCUAAACAAGAGCGAGGGUGCACUGAACCUCCCAUGUAAACUUUAUACAACAGAUUCAGCAGAACUGUAAUUAUUUACAAAAUGAUGGCAUGAGAAAUCUCUGGAUUUAUAUCUCACUUUAAAGUAACAGAGAUUGUGUCCACAUAAUUUUUGAGUUCAUGGUAGGUUUUUAAUUUACUUUCUUAUUUUUGCUAGGAUACGAUACACCUCAUCACACUUUAAAAAUCAAUGUCAUUAUUUAAAGUUAUUGAUUUCUUUCUAAUAAACACUUUCUUUUCUUUUUUCUUUUUUUUUUUUAAAUAAGGCACAUUAUUUAAUUAUAAAUGAACCUGUAUGCUGAAUUAUUGGCGCUGCACGACACUUGUGUGUUGGAUUGCAGUUAUUCACUGGAUGGAGCGGAGAAAGAAGACAAGGAGAGAACAGAAUUCACUCACCUGCAACAAAAUAAAAGUAUACAUAUGCAUGGAAAAGCAACAAGAAACACUGCUCUGAAGCUGUUCUUGAAAUGUCAAGAUUUCAAGGUUUCUGUUCAAAGACUAGAACAUGACAGGAAAAGAUUUCCUGAAGGCUGUAAAGCAGAAGCUAUCCUGCUUCAUUGUGGAGAAGAGACUAAAUUUUCACUUCAACAGCCACCUUUCUUAAUUUUUCUGAUGUGAUCUUCAGCUUCAGAAAGUACAGAGGAAACAACAAGCAUCCAAGAACUGCAGUUUACCUCAACAAAUCCAGUGCAUAUAUUCAUACAAUUUACUGUGUACUUUUCACAUUUACACUUUUUUUUUUUUUCUUAUAUAGGCAUAGACUAUCCACUGAUUUCAAAAUUAGGAAGAGUUUAAAAUAAUAAAAGUAGAAUCUAUGUCUGUUUGGUGUUCUGCCAGUACUUACUCUACAUACUUUAUACGACACAGGCCACUUAUAGAUACAUUUUUAAAGUACACAUUAACCUUACUUAAAUCACAUUAGAACUGAACUUAAGUUGCAUUCCACAGAGAGACAGAUUAAUAAAGGUGAAAAGAAGAUCAUGUUUCUCCAGUUAGCUUCUUGUCAACUCUGUAGCUUCUUGUCAACUCUGUAGGUCUAGAUGAUAUCAAGAUGCUUUGGAGAGAAACAAACACUCCAGCUAAAUAAUCAGUAAGAUAUUUAUUUUAUCAAAAUCUGCACACACAAAGUGAUUUAAAGCUUCACCACACAGAACAAAUACCUAGGUCCUUUUGGGUUUGUUUUUCUUUGUUUUCAUUUUCUAGGAGUAAUAAAGACCUUGGGGCAGGGCAUUUCCUUUGGAUUAAUGACCGGCUGGGGUUAAUGGCCAG
rnacentral:lncRNA from 1 species